AUUGAACGCUGGCGGCAGGCCUAACACAUGCAAGUAGAACGAGUGGCGGACGGGUGAGUACUGUCUGGGAAACUGCCUGAUGGAGGGGGAUAACUACUGGAAACGGUAGCUAAUACCGCAUACCAUCGGAUGUGCCCAGAUGGGAUUAGCUAGUAGGUGGGGUAAAGGCUCAACUAGGCGACGAUCCCUAGCUGGGCUGAGAGGAUGCCCAGCCACACUGGAACUGAGACACGGUCCAGACUCCUACGGGAGGCAGCAGGGGGGAAUAUUGCACAAUGGGCGCAAGCCUGAUGCAGCCAUGCCGCGUGUAUGAAGAAGGCCUUCGGGUUGUAAAGUAAUUUCGGCGGGGAGGCGUUACCCGCAGAAGAAGCACCGGCUAACUCCGUGCCAGCAGCCGCGGUAAUUC
rnacentral:rRNA from 1 species